rnacentral:rRNA from 1 species
GACCCGUCCUGAAACACGGACCAAGGAGUCUAACAUGCACGCAAGUCGUAGGGUCGUCCGAAACCCGAAGGCGAAGUGAAAGCGAAGGGGUAGGCCCGCCGCAAGGCUGUGGCCCACUCUAAGGUGGGAUCCCUUCUCCUUUGAGGGAGGGGCGCACCACCGGCCCGUCUCGUCCGCGCUGUCGGUGAGGCGGAGCUCGAGCGUGUGCGUUGGUACCCGAAAGAUGGUGAACUAUGCCUGAGCAGGACGAAGCCAGAGGAAACUCUGGUGGAAGUUCGUAGCGAUUCUGACGUGCAAAUCGAUCGUCUAACUUUGGUAUAGGGGCGAAAGACUAAUCGAACCAUCUAGUAGCUGGUUCCCUCCGAAGUUUCCCUCAGGAUAGCUGGCAUUCGCACUCAGUUUUAUCCGGUAAAGCGAAUGA